AUUGAACGCUGGCGGCAGGCCUAACACAUGCAAGUCGAGCGAGCGGCGGACGGGUGAUUCAUGUCUUGGAAACUUCCUGAUGGAGGGGGAUAACUAUUGGAAACGGUAGCUAAUACCGCAUACCAUCAGAUAUGCCCAGGUGGGAUUAGCUAGUAGGUGGGGUAACGGCUCACCAAGGCGGCGAUCCCUAGCUGGUCUGAAAGGAUGACCAGCCAAACUGGAACUGAGACACGGUCCAGACCCAUACGGGAGGCAGCAGUGGGGAAUAUUGCACAAUGGGCGAAAGCCUGAUGCAGCGAUGCCGCGUGUGUGAAGAAGGCCUUCGGGUUGUAAAGCACUUUCAGGGGGGAGGCGUUACCAACAGAAGAAGCACCGGCUAACUCCGUGCCAGCAGCCGAGGUAAGAC
rnacentral:rRNA from 1 species